UAAACAUAAUCGAGAAACGGUCGGGCCCUAUGGCAAGAUCUCGUCCAACUGCAUAAAAAGUAACUGUGGGAGCGUUGAGUGUUGUCAUCGAUAAGCUCGAUAGUUUUUCUAUCGAUAGCAUGCGAUAAUACAGGAUUCUUGUGCAGACUGCAAAAAAUUCUUAACGGUUUUUUUUUAGCCAGUCGUUGGUUAUUCAAAAUGCUUAUAUUUAAGAAAAUUCGAGAAACGCAUUUCCAUUGGCAUCGUUCUAACGGGCAUCAUAAGCUGAUAAGCUGACACCGACAGGGCCGCCAGCAGCGGCACGCGGCACGCGGCAGGUGGCCAAGGGGCACUUACUUACGGGCGGCAUACACAAAUGUUACGAUCGAUUCGAGUGUUGACAAACGCAAAAAAAAAAACCGAAGCCAAAGUAAUCCCUUGCACCUGAACUAGUUCUGGGCCUGUGCAAGACGGGCAACCUUAUUUUCGCGGACUUGAAUUGUAUAUACAUGCAUAUAUGGGCAGAUUGGCCAAAUACAAAUCGGCUUACAAAACCGUCAACACAACAACAACAACAACAAAAACAAGAACAACAAUGCCAACAAAACGGAACUAGUUCAAUGACUGUCUGCUGCACGGCCAAUGCAUUUUUUUUUUUUUUUAUUAUUAUUAUUGUUGUAUUACAGUUGCAAUUGCCUAAAGCUGUUAAUUAACGUACCACAUGCUGCACA